CUUCGUGCUUAUAGAGAGAAGGCAACACCUAGCUCCAUUCCGAACCUAGCAGUUAAGCUUCUCUUCGCCGAUGAUACUGCACUUUUCAAGUGUGGGAAUGUAGGACAGCGCGGAGA
rnacentral:rRNA from 1 species